AAGGGCACCACAAGAACGCGUGGAGCAUGUGGCUUAAUUUGACUCAACGCGGGAAAUCUUACCGGGUCCGGACACACUGAGGAUUGACAGGCAAUAUUAAUACGUUUUGCUUCGGUAAUCGUAUUAUGUUAAAUAUGCUAGUCCUUUCAUGAUUAUGUGAUAGGUGGUGCAUGGCCGUUCUUAGUUCGUGGAGUGAUCUGUCUGCUUAAUUGCGUUUCACUAAGGGCCUAUAAAUUUACGUGUGUUGCAUCGCACUUUGACCCCUUUCUUUAAUUAGAGAGCGCGUGUCUUAGUUUUCGCUUUGCUCAUACAAUUAGGUCCUGAAAGCAACGAACGUGACCGCAACCUCUUGUUGCCUUUAUACCAAACAUGUUUUGCGUCAAUUUUCGAAUUGCGCGCAUUUCAUGAAAAAAGGCUUUUUAAACUAGAGGGACCGCUGUUACUUUCUUAAACCAGAGGAAGGUUGCGGCAAUAACAGGUCUGUGAUGCCCUUAGAUGUUCCGGGCUGCACACGUGCUACAAUGAUUAUUGCAGUGAGCAUCUCACUUUUACACACCGCAUGCGCGAGUCCAUUUAUUCACCUUCGGGUGUUUUAAAUGUGUAUCUCUGCCGCGGUAAAGCCUGCUUCGACAGUAAGUGGGUAAUCAAUUAGAAGUAAUGAUUUCCUUUUUUUAGCACACAUAUAUACGGCGUCUAUGCCCGGGUUACCUUGUUGUAGCUUUUGUGCGUAUAGAUGUUUUUUCCGUAUGUGCGAUUGUCAAUCCAUGGUGGGGACAGACCAUUGUUAAUUGUUGGUCUCGGUCUUAACUAGGAAUGCCUUGUACGGGUCUUUGGUUCAACAAACCACCCGGAAUACGUCCCUGCCCUUUGUACACACCGCCCGUACGCUCUUACCGAUGGACUUCUCUGUGAGUUUGAGGGACUGGGAACGCAGGAAUUUAUUUCUGCACACCUAUGGAAACUUAAACGAACAGUGUGGUCUAAAGGAAAGAGAAGUCGUAACAAGGCAUCGGUAGGUGAACCUGCAGAAGGAUCA
rnacentral:rRNA from 1 species